GGCCAUCAGGGGCAGCAAUGAGCAGGAAGACACUGCAAGACUGCUUCAGUAGCUUUUAGGGCAGUGGAGUGAGCACGUAGAAAUAUGCUUUCCUUUCCUUUCCUUAUCUAGAAGCAAACCGUAACAUCUUAUGCUUAACUUGGCCCCGGCUUUAGCCACUGAGUUAACUCUGCCUACUUGUUGUUGUUUUGCACCUGUAGUAGCAGCUGGAGCAGCCUGUGGAAGUGAUUAAGGCAGGCAACUUGAAAACCUGACUCAGGAGGAAUGGAAAGCAAAACCUUACAAUGAACUUAUAAGAUGAACCUGUCCAUGUAGCACAAACUUAAAAUGGUAGUUUGAGUGAAUGUCAAAUCUCCAGCAGUUCACAAAGCUUCUGAAGCAAAUCACCUUUGGAUCAGUAAAAUUACAUCAGUGACAACAACAUCAACAACACAAAGCCUGUUGGUGAGUCGAGCCCCUGAGCUGACUAAGGUUUACUGGCCAGAAGCCUGUAAACCACUUAGGGACCCACCGAUGAGGGAACAUCUGCACUCAUGCUGUUGCUCUGACAACUGAAACGGAACCCAUGGGUCCAUGUGCUACUACAAUGUGAAUAAAGCAUGAUCAGCAGUGAACCCGUCCAUUAACCAGGGCCUCCCGGAUAAACAAAGUGGAAAACAUAUGUGCACAUGCAGGGGACGCACAUUAUUCUCUGAGGGGAUCAACAUGUUGUGACAGAGUUCACCUUCAUGCACACGCCUCUGUGUAAAUUUGAUAAUAUGACUGUGAACUGCAAGCAUCUGUCUCUGCACUGAAGCCAGCGAGGAAAACGGUCUGUAAAUCUGUUCUGAAAACAAAUUCUACAAUUUAAAAAUGUACCAGGAUACAAACAUUCUAUUUGGAAACUCAAUUGAAAAUGCUGCUGCUUUACAUGCAAAAUACUUUAUGUCUAGAUUGUUUUGUGUCUGUAGCGGGUAACAGCAGAUAAUCUUUAGAUACAUAACAGCCUCAAACUGCAUUUGUAAUCCUAAAGAAAAAUCAUGUUGAUAUGGCAAUUUAAAUAUUUGGUGUACACACUACACUGUGCAACAACAAGAUAAACUGAAAAGAGGAAACUAAAAUAUUCUUCAUAACUUUACAUUAGCUAACAUGGAUGUGCACUAAUAAUGUCAUUUUCAUUAAUGUUCAGUUAAAUGAUAGGAUAAGGCCACUCAUCUUCUAUAUUAACAGUAUUUUAAACACUCCUCCUACAGAGGCUGACAAUGAAUUGCCUCUACUCAUAUUAGAUGUCUGUCGUGUGACAGGCCUGGAUUAUUGUAUUCAUCUGUGCCAUAGAUCUUUAUUGUUGUUCAAAAACAAUUAAAAACAUGUCAGGGAAGCACACCGCUGCACUGGGUGACAUGAUUCCUCAUUACACUCCAAAGGCUCCGAAUGGCCAUAACUUUUUACAGCAUCUACAGCAAGAGUCAAGGGCCCGUGCACGAGAUCUCUGAAUAAUCUCAACAAAUACUGUAUUGGGGUUUUGUGUUUUAUAAUGAGGCAAUGUCACUUAUACUCAUCGUGCACUGACCACUAACUCUCAUCAUAUGAUCAAAAUUGGACAUUAGAUUUCAUGUUAAUAAUCCAUGUUAAAAUGAACAAAAUAACAACUCUGGGUUCUUCUUUUGGUUUCCUGUCUGAUUUUGCAGUUUUGAUUUUUUUCAUAAGAUGUUAUAAUCAUGUGAAGUGCAAUCAUUGGCAAUAUAAAUCAUUAGCCCUGUAUUUCUAUUCAUUUGUUCUGUCACGCCACUGCGCCUUUUUUACUUUUUACUUUUUUGUCUCCCGCUCUGUUUACCUGUCUUCUUCCUCCCUCUUCUUCUCUCACAUCCCUGUCUUUCUCCCUCUCUCACCCAGUCACACACUGUUUCCCCUUUAUCUUGGGAGAACACGGUGUAUAGAGCAGCCAGGGGAUACAAUAGCCAUGCUGCAAUGUCGAACAAUGACACCGAUGUCAAGUAUCCCCCCCGCCGGGUUCCUCUGACCUCCAAAGGAAUUUGGUGCCUGUCGCAAACAUGAGUUCCGGAUGACUUUGUUCCAAUAAGGAGGGAUUUUUCUCAAAUGCAAACGAUGUGUCUCUGUUUAUUGUUUCCUUGGCCUUCAUGAAACCACCCACACACUAUUUUAUGAGUGAGAAAGUGCACUGUUACAUGAACUCAGAAUUUAGACAAGCCGUCUUUUUUUUCUUUCAGAACAGCAGGCGAGAUGACUAAGCACCAAUGAUGAUUUCCUCUUUGACAGAGGUUUCCACCAGUGAAAAAGAGAAAGGCACAGAUAUGGAUUUCAUUAGAGGAUGUGAUGCAGUAAUUUGACACAGGCUGGAGAAAAUUACUUGGGUUUGUCACAAAAUAAUGAAAUGUAUAGCUCAAGGGCAAUUUAAAAAAAUCUUUUGACAGUUAAUGGAGCAUUAUUCCAUCAGAUGAGUUAAACUGAAAAUAGAUAUGACAUGACUAGUUUGUACCCUUAGAAAAAGAAACAUGAUUAGCAGUGACACCUGUUUCCUCCACAGUAAGGAAAGAACUUGGGAAAGCAGCUUCACUUCUCACUAAAUCAGUUGUAAUGCUCACUUAUUCGAACUCCUUAGGGUGCAGCCAAAGUGGGAUUAAUUUGAGAGACUAACUCAGAUCAAUAAAUUCACAUUGUAUUAUCUCCUCAGGUUACAUAAAAAAGGGAAAUAAAUUCAAACCAAGAGGUUUGCCAAUCAAAGUAAUAGCUCCUUUCAGUGCUUUGAUAAUGGCCAGUCCAAAAAAUCUGAAGAUACCAUCUUAAAAAGAUUUAAGCAGUUUUCAUUCAUCGCAAAUAUGGAGACUUUAACACCAAAAAUAUAAUUUGAGAAAAAUGAAGAAGAGUUCCAGAAAACAAGUUUUUAUUCAUUUUUAUAUCAUUUAAUAUAAGUAUUGCUUUGCCCAAAUCAAAGAGUGUACAGUAUGGGGUAUUCCUCUUUUAUAUUGCUGAGGAAGCCAAGUGGCAGACCUAAUCAGCAUUACACUGGGCUAACUGUUUACUGUAAGUGCACUUAAUGGCAGAUACAGCAAUAAGAAUAGUUUAACACAUUGAUAAGGCUGCAGGAAAGCUAGACAUUCCAGGAUUAGGCAGGUAAACACUGCUCACAACCUGUGUCAACUCAAGUUUGUUUUACCAGCCUGCCCUGUUCAUCUUCACCUGAUCUGAGGCACAGAAGUAGACAGGCAACAAGAAGAAAAGUCAGAUAAGAUUUCUGGAUGCU